AUUGAACGCUGGCGGCAGGCCUAACAAAUGCAAGUCGGGCGAACGGCGGACGGGUGAGUAAUGUAUGGGGAACUGCCUGAGGGCGGGGGAUAACUACUGGAAACGGGAGCUAAUAACGCAUACCAUCAGAUGGAACCAUCUGGGCUUAGCUAGUAGGGGAGGUAACGGCUUACCUAGGCGACGAUCCCUAGCUGGGCUGAGAGGAUGAUCAGCCACACUGGGACUGAGACACGGCCCAGAGUCCUACGGGAGGCAGCAGUGGGGAAUAUUGCACAAUGGGCGCAAGCCUGAUGCAGCCAUGCCGCGUGUAUGAAGAAGGCCCUAGGGUUGUAAAGUACUUUCAGUCGGGAGGCGUUACCGACAGAAGAAGCACCGGCUAACUCCGUGCCAGCAGCCGCGGUAAUUC
rnacentral:rRNA from 1 species